CAGGUUUUAAGAGAAUGCUGCAAGACUAGUCAGAAGGAAAACAAAUUCCGGAAUUUAUAUUUGAAAAACCAAAACUACAUAUAGUCUAAGAAUAUAUAUAUAUAUAUAUAUAUAUAAAAGUGUGGAAGUCUGAGUUUGGAAUCAUAUUGUGUUUGAAGUGAGGUUAGAACUGAAGCACAUUAAGAUUUUGAUUAAUACCAGAAAACACAACAAUGGAAGCUAUUGAGAGGCAAGCAGAAAAACAGAUUGAAAAUAAGAAUUAUAAAGAAGCGAUUAAGAAGUAUGAUACUCUGUUAACAAAUCCCAUCAUUGAUCCACAAUAUCUUUUCAAGCGUGCCAAAUGUAGUUAUCAUCUAAACAGUUUUCAAAACGCACAGGCAGAUGUUAAAGAAGCCAUCGCAAGUGGACUAACCACUACUCCCGUUUAUAUUUUGGCUGGUAAAAUAGCUGCCAAACAAGGAAAAUAUGAAGAAGCCCUCACUUAUUACAAGAACGUUCUUAAAACCGAACCUGGCAACCCUGAAGUAAUUGCAGACCUGAAAACGAUCCAGAAGGAAAUUCUUGAUGCCUAUGAAGCAAAUUCCAAAGAUGGUGAAGCAGAGGAAGAAAACUUGAGUCCAACGAAAUUCUGUACCCAGGACAUUUACCCAGGGGAUGAUCUUCUUCUGAAGAAUGAGAAAGAGAUUCUUGAAGUAAAUUAUAAGAUUGUAUCUGAAGCAAAUGAGCCUGAUGAUGAUCCCAGAUUAAGCUUUUUGCCUGCACAUAUGAAGAACCCAGCCAAAUUAGCAAUUCAGGGUCAGACUUGUCAAAUGCGAGGCCAGUUGGAAGAAGCGAUGCAGUUCUUUGAUAUGGCUAUCCUGUUGGAUAAAACAAAUCACAAUUUCCGUUUAUUUAAAGCCAGGCUUUGCUUUCAGAUGGAAAAAAACUUAGAAUCCUUACAACAGCUCUGGUUAAUACCUAAAACUUUAAGGAAUCAUGAAAUCUGGAAACUUGGAGGACUGAUUCUAAAAGAUUUAGAUCUGCCGGUUCUGGCCGAAUUCUGGAUUCGUAAGGCCACACAGUUUUCUAACAACGCUGACGAAGAGUGCAAGAUUGCUUUCCAGCAAAUUCGUGUCAAACGUCUCUACUCCCCACUUUGUCUAGACUACCCAGUAGAAGUAGUCUUUUCCCGCUACGGAAAAGCUGUUGUAGCUACGAGAGACAUCGAAGCGAAUGGCGUCAUCUUCAAGGACUGUCCAUUGGUCAUCGGGCAAACCACAGAUACCCACAAAACUUCUCCUACGUGUGAUAACUGUGGCUAUUCGCUGAUGGAGCCUGAGCAUUACUUUGGUGAUAAACUCAACACGAUGAAAGAGGAAUUAAAAGAGUUGAUUGAGUCCUACUGGCCGAAGAGGUUCUCGGUGGCUUGCGAGGACUGCUACCGUGAGAACUACUGCAGCAAAGCUUGUCGAACAGAAGCAAUUGAAGGUUACCACCGAGUGUUAUGCCCUAAGAACAAUCCAGCGGCCAAUCUGUUGUAUGAUGUUCGAGAUGGUGACGGCUUGGCAGUUAACCCGGAAACAAGGAUGCGAGAGGAGUACUGGGGUGGCCAUUUCAGCCCCAUGAUUAUUCCACGGAUGUAUGCUUCGAUGAUCAGCUAUGCCCAGAAACUGAUGGAGGAGGAAGGCCUCACUGAACCCUCGCUCUUACAUUGGUCUAUAUCUAAGGCCCCUUACAGAAGGUUUGUGGCUUUCGGAUCAUCGAAAGCCGUCCAGAAGAAUCCGCUGUUUUAUGAUUUGAUUAAAGACGUCUUCAGGUCCUACAAAAUCCCAUACGAAAUAACCAAGGCAGAUUUCGACGGUCGGUACAACCAAUCCACAUGUAAUCUGCAAGCGUUCGGCUCGUACACGACGCCUUACCACAAAUUCCUUGCCAAUCUCCAAGAGGCCGAAAUGGACUUGACUGUCGUAGCCAUGAUAAAGAUGCUCGAGAAAAAACCACCACAUGCAUCUCUGGCCAGUCUCUUCCCACUACAUGCAUGCACAAACCACUCUUGUGAUAACAACGCUGAUAUAUUAGACGGGGAGGUUCUUGGUCGGCCAGGGAUCUGGGUGAUGGCUCGGAGGCCCAUUAGCAAGGGAGAGGAGAUCCACAUCACCUACAUAGACACGGCGAUGCAACAGAAGUUACGCCGUGCUUGGCUCUACCGGUCUUUUCAUUUCUGGUGUCAAUGUCGGCGCUGCGAGUUCGAAGGGACCGACUCGGAUGUUUGCACCAAUUGUCAAAAGAAAGCACCGGAAGGUAAAAAGUUUGCCGUUUGCAGUCGAUGCAAAAAGGCCUGGUAUUGUUCGACGAAGUGUCAAAAAUUGUCAUGGAAGAACGGUCACAAGGCUAUCUGCGAAAAGGCUUGAACCAUUGAAAGGAAAGUAAUAGAACACACACAUGCACACACACACACACACACACACACACACACACACACACACACACACACACACAC
rnacentral:misc_RNA from 1 species